AGUGAACGCUGGCGGUAGGCCUAACACAUGCAAGUCGAACGGCAGCACAGUAAGAGCUUGCUCUUACGGGUGGCGAGUGGCGGACGGGUGAGGAAUACAUCGUAAUCUACUUUUUCGUGGGGGAUAACGUAGGGAAACUUACGCUAAUACCGCAUACGACCUACGGGUGAAAGCAUGGGAUCUUCUGACCUUGCGCGAUUGAAUGAGCCGAUGUCGGAUUAGCUAGUUGGCGGGGUAAAGGCCCACCAAGGCGACGAUCCGUAGCUGGUCUGAGAGGAUGAUCAGCCACACUGGAACUGAGACACGGUCCAGACUCCUACGGGAGGCAGCAGUGGGGAAUAUUGGACAAUGGGCGCAAGCAUGAUCCAGCCAUACCGCGUGGGUGAAGAAGGCCUUCGGGUUGUAAAGCCCUUUUGUUGGGAAAGAAAAGCAGCAGGUUAAUACCACGCUGUUAUGACGGUAACGAAAGAAUAAGCACCGGCUAACUUCGUG
rnacentral:rRNA from 1 species